UUUCUCUUGGCUCAUGUGAUUACUUCUCUGAAUUGGUUCACGUCAGAGUCACUUUCCUGUCCAGGGUGAUGCUGUGCAACAUUACUGACAACCCACGAUAGAUGUGGAAGGCAAGGAUUUCAAAACACUAAUUUGACCAUAAUUUACCCUAGGUACACAAGAGCUUUAAAGCUGAAGUGGAUUCUGUGAAUAAUGCUACUCAGCCCAGAUAAAAACAAAAAUGGUGAGACAAGAAGGUCUGUAUGCGUGACUCAUUCCCAUGGCCAGGAGCUCCUCAGCUUGGAUCCCAGACCUACCAACAGUUUGGUACUCUCCAGCAAGAGGGACUGCAUGCCUGCCCUCCAUGGCCAGCUUUCCUCAUCUGAUGCAGCUCCCCAUCCCAGUUCAGGGGAGCUGGAGGCAAUUGGUCCAGGGAGCAGGAUGUAUCCCUCUCUUCCUGCAGGCUAACUAACGCCUGCCAAAGGCAGUGCACAUCAUGUAUGUUAACUCUCCUUCACCAGGCAGAAGCUGGCAGCCUCAGGACUCCCAGUGCCCCCCAAUAAACCUUAGAAAGCUCCCAGGGGCUCUUCAACAUCAGAAUUCUCACUGUGGGCUUUGAAAGUACCUUUGGGCUUACAUCACGUUUCGCAUAUUACACAAUUAACUGGCGAAUCUCACAAUAAAUUCAGACCAGUCACACGUGCAAAGUCAGGGCCCCUCGACAUACACAGGUAAAGGUGCCAUGCGAUCCAAUGCGCAAUCCACACAGUCACACCCCUGGCCAUGCCACACACGCAUGGCAGAAGGGCAACUGGUAUCACAUUAGAUCCCCUCAUGCCUUAUUGCCGGUACGGGGGGAGCCCGGGAUCACCAGCCUGGUGGUCGUCCUGCACCAGCUCCCACAGGGCUUGGCAGAGCACCCAGAGGGGCAGCUUUCUCCCCCCCAGCCCCGGGGAGCCCUGCACCUCCCAAGGCUCGCAGCAGCGGCAGCCUCCUCCCUGCAGCCAGAGACGCCUUCUCCUGGUUGCGCGCCCCACAGCCGACGGUGCCGCCAGCACAGCGCAUCCUGCACCCCUGCAGCUGCGAACCCCGCAGCUGACGGGGGAGCGCUCGGACUCGCCCUCAACUAGUGGCGCGACGACAACAAGCAACCA